ACUGACAGGCCCACAGGGGUCUAGGCUAGGCUGAACUGUACAUCUCCAGAGCGGCUUGUCAGAGAGCACAGUAAUGGGGAAAUAAACUCAAAGACGGAGGCCCUCAGAGAUAGGAAGGCCCUCUUUGCUCCUCUCCUUUUUGGAGACCUGUCAGGGUUUGCCUAACGGUACUGUGCACGCUCAAAGACACACAGAUACACAAACACACACCCUUACCAUAACCAUUUGGAGUGAAUGCCUAAACUUAACUUUAACACAAUUAUAAUUUUAAGGUCUGCAACAACUUCAAAAUGUGACAUUUGAGAAACAUGGAUGAACAUCUAAUUCUGAUGUGAGACAGUGUUAGUUUCCCAGACCACCAUUAAUCUACCACCAAGCCACAGGACAGGUCUCAUCUACCACCAGGCCACAGGACAGGUCUCAUCUCCCACCAGGCCACAGGACAGGUCUCAUCUACCACCAAGCCACAGGACAGGUCUCCUCUCCCACCAGGCCACAGGACAGGUCUAGGACAGGUCUCAUCUCCCACCAGACCACAAGACAGGUCUCAUCUCCCACCAGACCACAAGACAGGUCUCAUCUCCCACCAGGCCACAAGACAGGUCUCAUCUCCCACCAGGCCACAAGACAGGUCUCAUCUCCCACCAGGCCACAAGACAGGUCUCAUCUCCCACCAGGCCACAAGACAGGUCUCAUCUCCCACCAGGCCACAAGACAGGUCUCAUCUCCCACCAGGCCACAAGACAGGUCUCAUCUCCCACCAGGCCACAAGACAGGUCUCAUCUCCCACCAGGCCACAAGACAGGUCUCAUCUCCCACCAGGCCACAAGACAGGUCUCAUCUCCCACCAGACAGGUCUCAUCUCCCACCAGACCACAAGACAGGUCUCAUCUCCCACCAGACAAGUCUAAUCUCCCACCAGGCCACAAGACAGGUCUCAUCUCC